GCGUUCAGGGGCGAACUUCCUCCGUUUCUGGCGGACUAGGGAGUAUUCAGGCUUGGUGAACAGCUUAUGCAUGGCGACUUCUGGGUCGAUGCCAGGGACGUCGCCUUGUGACCAAGCAAACACGUCAGAAUUCUUUUUCAAGAAAUCUAUCAAGGCGAUACGCAAUUCAUCGGUGAGCUCUGUUCCGAUCAUGACUUGACGAUCUGGGUAGUUUGGGUGAAUGGAGAUUGGGACGACUUCUUCUAGAGGUUUGGUGUUCUCGGUUUCUCUGGGGUCUUCCAGGAUAAGCUGUUCUAUCUCAUCUCCCAAUAUCCCCGCGUCAUCGCCC
rnacentral:lncRNA from 1 species